rnacentral:rRNA from 1 species
AACCAAGAAAUUUAGUCAUUCUUUUACGGUAAAAAGACAGUUAAGCAAGGAAAAGAAAGAUCAUUAGACCUUUAAUACAGGAGUAAAAUCUAAAUAUUAAAAGUUAUACCUGAUGUGGUUUAUUUAAUAUGCUGAAGCUGUGAUAGCUUUAAGGGAAACUGGGAUUGGAUACCCCAUUAUUUUUAGUCGUAAAUUUAGUUUAAGCUUACCAGAGUACUACGAAUAAAAAGUUUAAAACUCAAAGGGCUUGGCGGUGUUUUAGACCUCUCAGGGGAACCUGUCUCAUAAUCGACAAUCCACGUUAAACCUAACUCUUUAUGGCAAGUCAGCCUGUAUACCGUCGUCGUCAGGUAACUUCUUAAAAUAUAGUAGUUAGCCAGAGAAUUUUAUUAAUUAAAACGUCAGAUCAAGGUGCAGCUAAUAAAAGAGUGAGGAUGGGUUACAAUUACAGAUUUGUAAUUACGGAAAACACUUGAAAUGAAGUGGCUUAAAGGAGGACUUGAAAGUAAUUUUGAUUAUAUAAGCAAAAUGAAUAAGGCUCUGAAACGUGC